rnacentral:lncRNA from 1 species
AACAUUCAAAACACAAACAGUAAAAUAGUAACCACGCUCAGAUUGUGCAUAAUGGAAACAAAUUGCUAAUAUAAACACCAGAUGCCAAAACAGGCAUGCCAGUGACUAUUACAAUAUAAACACCAGAUGCCAAAACAGGCAUGCCAGUGACUAUUACAUUAUAUAUGUGUACUAUGCUUCACAACUGUUUCUUGUAUCUCUUUGUACCAUAAACACUAGUUACAACUCUUGGAAACCGACAGAGGUGGAUAUAACUGUGAGUUCAAUUUAGUCCAGAGCCAUGCAGAUUAACUGAACUGACCGUGAUAAUUAUGCCCCUUUUACACUGGAAUAAUCACAAGAUGACACUAACCAAAACUUCAAAAGCCCACAAGCAUCAAGUUUUAGAGGCAGAAUAGGGUUGUAGACGAUAUCA